UGUUAGCAUUUUAUUUUAAAGUAUCGCUUGUUUUUUAGAGAAGGCAGAGAAGCCAAUAAAAACCAUUGUAGUUGAAGAUAGUGAAGAGAUAGUAAAUACGAAAAAAAGCUACAUAGUUGACGAUACAGAAGAAAGAGCUUUAAACAAGAUAUGCUAAUAUGCUGUAUGGUGGAAAAAUUUCAAUGGACGCUUGCAAUAAUCAAACCAGGUAAUAAAACAAUUCACUCUAUGGACCCUAUGGGAGAACAGACAAAUUCCAUCAAAAAAGAAGAAGUGAAAUGGAAUUGUUACUUACAGCAAAGAUAUGGUGUUUCAGAAAAGUUUGAAAUAUUAACAUUACCACAUGCCAUACAAGCUGAAGGUAUAACAUUUGGAGUAUUCUGCCUUAAGUUUGCUGAAAGUUAUACAAAUGGAGAAGUAUUUGUGCGUGUCUUUCCACAUGAAGAAGUUAAUGCAUACAGAAAGAGAGAUACAGGAGAUUUGUGAGAUUCUUUAGAGAACAGAAAAUGUUUAUACUACUUUAAUGUUAAAUGAUAUCUAUAAAAAAGACAAAAAAAAAAUGAUGAAAAAUUAAAUCAAUAGGUCAGAAGAGUUGGCAGAAUAGUUUGUGUCGCAUUUGUGGAAGUGAAAUU
rnacentral:lncRNA from 1 species